GACAGAGGGUGCAAACGUUGUUCGGAAUUACUGGGCGUAAAGCGCGCGCAGGCGGUCCUUUAAGUCAGGGGUGAAAGCCCAGAGCUCAACUCUGGAACUGCCUUUGAAACUAGAGGACUUGGGUACGGGAGAGGUGAGUGGAAUUCCGAGUGUAGAGGUGAAAUUCGUAGAUAUUCGGAAGAACACCAGUGGCGAAGGCGGCUCACUGGCCCGUUACCGACGCUCAGGCGCGACAGCGUGGGGAGCAAACAGG
rnacentral:rRNA from 1 species